rnacentral:lncRNA from 1 species
GGUCAAUGGCAGAAGGAUGUCCUUCAGUCGACGAAGAGUAGGCUUCAGUCGGCAAAGGAGCUUCGGUCGGCCCCUGCUCCGGGACAGCUUCCUCCGCUAGGAUGACACCUCCCGACGGCUGGUCGGCUUCUUCUUCGGCUCCUUCUUCUUCGGCUCCUUCCUCGGCGAACGGUGGGACGACGCGGCUGACGUCCACCUCCGGGUACAAGGCAUGGACGGCGUCCCGACCAUCCUCGAACCCGACCCGGUAUGAGGCGAAGCCCGAUUCGAGCAUCUCCUCCCGGUAUCGGUCGGAGGACCGGAAGUCCUCCACUGCCCGUUCGGCCGACUCUCUCGCCGACAU